rnacentral:rRNA from 1 species
UACGGGGGGGGCAAGCGUUGUUCGGAAUUACUGGGCGUAAAGGGCUCGUAGGCGGCCAACUAAGUCACACGUGAAAUCCCUCGGCUCAACCGGGGAACUGCGUGUGAGACUGGAUGGCUUGAGUUUGGGAGAGGAAUGCGGAAUUCCAGGUGUAGCGGUGAAAUGCGUAGAUAUCUGGAGGAACACCGGUGGCGAAGGCGGCAUCCUGGACCGGCAUUGACGCUGAGGCGCGAAAGCUAGGGGAGCAAACGGG